CCAGCAACAACCAGUACUAGGUGAUUAACUAACUUCCAACAACAACAACCAGUACUAGGUGAUUAACUAACUACCAGCAACAACCAGUACUAGGUGAUUAACUAACUUCCAACAACAACAACCAGUACUAGGUGAUUAACUAACUACCAGCAACAACCAGUACUAGGUGAUUAACUAACUUCCAACAACAACAACCAGUACUAGGUGAUUAACUAACUACCAGCAACAACCAGUACUAGGUGAUUAACUAACUUCCAACAACAACAACCAGUACUAGGUGAUUAACUAACUACCAGCAACAACCAGUACUAGGUGAUUAACUAACUUCCAACAACAACAACCAGUACUAGGUGAUUAACUAACUACCAGCAACAACCAGUACUAGGUGAUUAACUAACUUCCAACAACAACAACCAGUACUAGGUGAUUAACUAACUACCAGCAACAACCAGUACUAGGUGAUUAACUAACUUCCAACAACAACAACCAGUACUAGGUGAUUAACUAACUACCAGCAACAACCAGUACUAGGUGAUUAACUAACUUCCAACAACAACAACCAGUACUAGGUGAUUAACUAACU